UCGUUUGGGCCGGCCUGUUUAUUUCCUGUUCGCUGUCCCCCUUCCUCCCUCGACCGCUUCAUUCGUUGUCUACAGAGAAGCUUUCCCUUUCUCCUUCGUGCCUGGAUCCCCUUUUCCUCCGUCGUUCGACCGCUUUUAUCACCUGCUUCUUCCUCCGGGAUCCUACUCCGGCAAGAGAACGCCGAUCUCGUCGCCGGUGUCUCCAGCGGCGGCGUCUGCGUCGUCUAGGGUUCCGACAAGGUCGGCGUCGUCUAGGGUUCUGACAAAGUCGGCGUAGUCUAGGCCCCCGUCAAGCUUCGUCAAGCUCGGCGUCGACAAGGUGCGAUGGGCGGAGGCAGCGACGGGGAGUGGAGCUCGUUUGGAUUGUAAGCCAGAAGUUGUCCUCGGCAUCCCGAGCUUGAUUUCCGCCUUGGAAGCCCAUCCUGCACAGGGGGUAGGCGUGGACGUGAGGCUCCAGGGUGCUACUACCGCGUAUGGCCGGCCCCGUAGUCCCGUGGAUAAGCAGCGAGCGGAUUUUUUUACAUCAUGAACCUGUACUACAGUGGCGAUGCAUUUCUGCCUACAAUUAUUGCCGUGAUCUACAACUUCAAGCCUUUGUUUGCUGCUACAUACGGAAAUACUACUUUUAGCAUAGGAAAUUUUGAGUCGAGAUUUCUACCAGCUCUGAAAGUCAAUUUCAGGUAUGACUCAAGAGUUUUCCUUCUUCAUAUCUUAGCAACUACAGAGGUCUCGGAAUGGAGGGUUUCUCUAAUGAUGAUCUACAAGGUCUACAUGAGAAAUUGCUUUUCGAGAUUGUCACUUGCAAGGACAAUGAAAUUCAGCUGCCAUUUGUAACUUCUUUCCUGCAGAGACAUGGUUUCCGCAUGUUCAAAUAAAGAUUUCAAGGCAAUCAUUUUUGAACCCACAUAUGAACACAUCUUAUGUACCAACUAACAUAUUUCCCUUUUUAUUAUCAAGGGUCCAAAUGCAACAGAAUUUUCCAACUCAAAGGAAUAGUACCGUGAGGGAACUCUUCUAUUUCUUUAUUAGCUGUAAAGAAGGUUCCCCAAUGAAGCUGUUCCAUUGGUUUCCCAGUGAUACUUUGUGUCAUUACUUUCAGUUGUAAAGAAGGUUUAAAUCUGCAGAAUAAGUUUGUAAAGAAGCUCAAACAUGCUUCUAUACUCAUACUUUCUUGGAUUUUCAAUUGUUUUAACUAGCAGUUGAAACAACAAAAAUCCUCUUUUGUA